GUUAAUCUCAGCUGUUGUGAUGAUUCCAUUCCCUUUACCCAUGACUGGCUUAGGGAUGGAUAUAUGACAAAAUCCUGGCCAGUGGGAUGUGAAGGAGAUCACAUCCUUCACAGCUCCAGGGACUGUAACCCACCAGGAUCCUCUGUCCAUGGAAUUUUCCAGACAAGAAUACUAGAGUGGAUUGCCAUUUCCUCCUCCAGGGGAUCUUCCCAACCCAGGGAUUGAACCUGUGUCUCUGGCGUCUCCUGCAUUGCCAGGCAGAUUCUUUACCACUGUGCCACCUGUGUAGCAGAGACUAUGCUAGAUCUUCACUAUACCUGUUUUCCUUCACCUCCUGGAUCCAUGGAGUAUACCAUCCACACGGUCCUGGACCACGAGAACAAUACUUCUCAGCUCUAGAUGAGGGAAGUGAAAUCUGGAGAAGCAAAGUCAAGAGAUCACAUAGACACAGGAAUAUACAGUGGGGCCUUUGAAAGUUCCACAGGAUGUGGAAUAAUUCUUCAUUGUAAAAGACUGUUCUGAGCAUGGCAGGACAUCUAGUAUGCUUGCCAAUGCCUGUUCCUACCGAUGG
ensembl:lncRNA